AUUGAACGCUGGCGGCAUGCCUUACACAUGCAAGUCGAACGGUAACAGGUCUUCGGAUGCUGACGAGUGGCGAACGGGUGAGUAAUACAUCGGAACGUGCCCGAUCGUGGGGGAUAACGAAGCGAAAGCUUUGCUAAUACCGCAUAAGAUCUAAGGAUGAAAGCAGGGGACCGCAAGGCCUUGCGCGAACGGAGCGGCCGAUGGCAGAUUAGGUAGUUGGUGGGAUAAAAGCUUACCAAGCCGACGAUCUGUAGCUGGUCUGAGAGGACGACCAGCCACACUGGGACGGAGACACGGCCCAGACUCCUACGGGAGGCAGCAGUGGGGAAUUUUGGACAAUGGGCGAAAGCCUGAUCCAGCCAUGCCGCGUGCAGGAUGAAGGCCUUCGGGUUGUAAACUGCUUUUGUACGGAACGAAAAGACUCUUUCUAAUAAAGAGGGUCCAUGACGGUACCGUAAGAAUAAGCACCGGCUAACUACGUGCCAGCCGCCGCCGUAAAAC
rnacentral:rRNA from 1 species